GGAAGUGCGAUGAGUCUGGUGACUCGCCUGGACUUCAAAUCCAGUGUGGGGUCUCACAAAGGUCCUAGGUGGGUUCGAUUCCCAUGCACUUCC
rnacentral:tRNA from 1 species